rnacentral:tRNA from 1 species
UUUUAGCUCAAUGUUAGAGCCUAUGUUUACUAUAUAUAAGGACCUGGGUUCAAUCCCCAGCAUAAAAA